rnacentral:miRNA from 1 species
GGCUGGGGGUGUAGCUCAGGGGGAGAGCACUGAGUUCAAUCCCCAGUAC